UAUUGUGGAGACAUCUCUGGACCACUGCUAGUGCCUCUGUGGGUGUCAUAAUAGAAAUACAGCAGCCCUCAGGGACCAAGAAUGAGCCACUGGCAUCCCAGAAGCUUUCAACAGAGGGUCACAGAUAAGCACAGUUCCCACUACUCAUCAAAGGGGCUUCUUUUUGCGGCAGAUGGAGACCAUCAGCGAAAGUCACGACUGGUCAAACCACAGAGAACAAUUGACCCUGACCGUGAGGCAUCUGGAGCAAUAUUGAUGUUCAGAGAGUGCAGAUUGAAUGUGCCAGCAGGUAUUAAGUCCCAAGAAUAUGGAAUGAGAAGGCAGUGCCAUGGCCUUUGACAUCAUUUUGUAGUCGGGAAGGCCCAUCUUACACACAGUGACACAGGAAUGGGACAGGUGGUGUAGGGACCUCUGUACUAGUGUGGUCCUCGGUGGGAGAAGAGACAGCGGUGUGGAUGGAGCAGCAGCUGGGCGCACACCGUGGAUGGACAAAGCAAGGAGAGGAAGAACCAUGGUACCUCCCCAACACCAUGGGAGGGAAAAGGGUGCAUUGUGUCUCCUGAGAAGCCCUGGAUUGAGUUCUGAGUGAGAAAAGGAAGCUCCUGACCCCUGAUGCCUCUUUCACCAGGCAUGUUACUGUGUGUACAGCUGGAGAAAGAGGAUCCCUGGCCCCAGAUUUCCACAGCAUCAGGUUCACCACCCAUCAGAGAAUCUGAGGUAUUCACAGCUCUCUAGGCACCCUCUCUAGAGCAGCAUGGAGUGCCAGCUCUCUCCAUCAGCUCUGUGGUAAGGUGGGCCAGAAAGGAGGAGAAACAGCAGAUGUCCAAGGCAAGCAUCACGUGACAUACCCAGGUGCUCCCCUCCCUGGUCUCUCACCAGUGUUGCUCCGUGCUUGCUUCUGUGAGUCCAAAUGCACCAGGCUUUAAGUAUCUGUGGGCACAGAACUAACUGUCACCUCCUUUUGAGUCUCAUUCCUCAGGGACAUUGCAAGCUGACACACUGACAUGUGCCCACCACACUGCCUGGAUUCUCCAUACCAGCAUGUGUCUAUGUUAAUGGAUCCACUAAGUUCUCAAGGAUGGCAGUGCCCCACCAUGAUGCCAACUGGUGCUUCCUCCCGCAGAGGAAGAGGUUCUUAGGUCCUGCAUUUGAGUGGCCUUCCCAAGGACUCGAGGACUGCAGGAGACUUUCGGGUACUCAAUCUAAAUAUUUACCAAGAAUUCUGACCUACUGCUCAUUAUCCAAAUGAAUAGUAUUUUUUCUUUAAAAAAGUGAGAUUGUUUUCAUCCAGAAUCAGCUAUUAUUUGGAGUCCAAUCAGCGUGCAAUACAUCCUCACGUUUCCGAUGCUCGGGAUGACAGGUCUCUAUAGCUGGAUAUGGAAGAGCAUCUCUAUUCUACCACUUGAUUGCUAGGGGACCUCCACUACCUCACAAUCUCCCACAAUCCCACUGGACCUGGAAAUGCCACUGUCAUCUGGUGGACAGGAGCCCAAAGCCCAGUUAGAAGAGCCACAGUACCAAGACAGCCUCACAAUCAAGACCUGUCUGGGGAAAAGCACCAGUAAGGAGCCAGGUUGACUCUGGCCAAAGGGGCAUGGAGAACCUUGUCCAUAGCACACUGUGACUUUAAGGAGUGAACACGAAGGUGAGACGUGAUGGACAAAUGUCCCCAUAAGGACUGGAAACCACUCUCUCCUGGAGCAUUGUUCUACUCAGACCUCAUAACCUUAAUGCUCACUCUGAAGCCAACCAUGGAGAAGCCCCCAGAAGACAGGAGACAUACAUGGGCCUGGAGGCAUCAGCAUGACUCUGGACAGAUGCAUGCUCCAGAUAAACUGGAACGAGCUGCUUUAAGUAUGUUGCUAUUAGAAAUAAACAGUUCAACGUCA